UGUCUUCGGGGCAGGGUGAAAUUCCCGAUCGGCGGUUACAGUCCGCUAGCGGCAACGCAUGAACCGGUGCAAUUCCGGUACCGACAGUAUAGUCUGGAUGGAAGAAGAU
rnacentral:ncRNA from 1 species